rnacentral:lncRNA from 1 species
GCACGAGUUCCCCCCAACGGCAGCGACGAUUGCAAACGGCAGCGGCGAUUCCAACUGCAACAGCGACCUCCGGUGACAGAGGCGACUUCCUCCGGUAUCCGUCGAAUUUCAGUCCUCAACAGGUUUGAUUCCAUCUCUUAUUUUCUACUCUCUCUUAUUUUCUUCUUUCUGUUUUUCAUCUCGAUUCCGCGUUCUUCUUCUAUCAAUCCUUCGGUGAUGAUUUAAUCAACCUAAUCUAUCUGUUCUUCUUCCAAUCAUCCCAAUACAUCUUUCUUUUAAAAUGGGAAUAGACCAUUAGAGAAUUAUAGAAUUAAAUCGUUCUGGAUUUAAUUAUGUCGUUCUUAAUUAAAUCGUUCUGGAUGCUGAACAAUACAUACCAUUAGAGAAUCAAAUGAGUGUCUACAGUUGGAGAAGUGGAUUCUGAAACAGAUUUCAAGGAUGAGUUAUAAUGUGUUGGUGAUAGUAACUGAUUUUAUUAGAAAGUACUCUUAAUGAACUAGAGGAUGAGAAGCAUUUUGGAGGAAUAAUGCUCUACCACUAUUAAAUGUUUAUCAUCCAAAUCACACAGUCGGUUGUAGGGAAUGUAGUUGAAUUUUGAUCCAACUUUUAAGCUUUGAAUAUUUUACCUUACAUACUACUCUUCUUCUGUUGAGACUUGAUUAUGUUAU